GUGCUUGCUUCAGCAGGACAUACACUAAAAUUGGAACACUACCGAGGUGAGCACCCUCCCUGCACAAGAAUGACAUGCAGAUUCCUGAAGUGUUCCAUAUUGAA
ensembl:snRNA U6 U6 spliceosomal RNA